rnacentral:rRNA from 1 species
GAAUAUUGGACAAUGGGCGCAAGCCUGAUCCAGCCAUGCCGCGUGAGUGAAGAAGGUUUUCGGAUCGUAAAACUCUGUUGUAAGGGAAGAACACGUACGAGAGUAACUGCUCGUACCUUGACGGUACCUUAUUAGAAAGCCACGGCUAACUACUUGCCAGCAGCCGCGGUAAUACGUAGGUGGCAAGCGUUGUCCGGAAUUAUUGGGCGUAAAGCGCGCGCAGGCGGUUCUUUAAGUCUGAUGUGAAAGCCCACGGCUCAACCGUGGAGGGUCAUUGGAAACUGGAGAACUUGAGUACAGAAGAGGAAAGCGGAAUUCCACGUGUAGCGGUGAAAUGCGUAGAGAUGUGGAGGAACACCAGUGGCGAAGGCGGCUUUCUGGUCUGUAACUGACGCUGAGGCGCGAAAGCGUGGGGAGCAAACAGG